CACGUAGGGCGCAAGCGUUGUCCGGAAUUAUUGGGCGUAAAGAGCUCGUAGGCGGUCUGUUGCGUCUGCUGUGAAAACCCGGGGCUUAACCCCUGGCUUGCAGUGGAUACGGACAGACUAGAGGUAGGUAGGGGAGAAUGGAAUUCCCGGUGUAGCGGUGAAAUGCGCAGAUAUCGGGAGGAACACCGGUGGCGAAGGCGGUUCUCUGGGCCUUACCUGACGCUGAGGCGCGAAAGCCAGGGGAGCAAACGGG
rnacentral:rRNA from 1 species